rnacentral:rRNA from 1 species
AAGUCUUGGGAUACUUAUACAUCAAGUUAAGUGUUUUCGGAUUUAAGUAGUAUUGAGUUGGGAGACCUUCUAAAAAGUCCAAAUUUAGGAGUUU